rnacentral:rRNA from 1 species
UACGUAGGGGGCUAGCGUUGUCCGGAAUCAUUGGGCGUAAAGAGCGCGUAGGCGGCCAGAUAAGUCCGGUGUGAAAGUCACAGGCUCAACCUGUGAAUGCCGCUGGAAACUGUCUGGCUAGAGUCCGGAAGGGGCGAGUGGAAUUCCUGGUGUAGCGGUGAAAUGCGCAGAUAUCAGGAGGAACACCAAUAGCGAAGGCAGCUCGCUGGGACGGUACUGACGCUGAGGAGCGAAAGCGUGGGGAGCGAACAGG